rnacentral:rRNA from 1 species
AACGAACGCUGGCGGCAUGCCUAACACAUGCAAGUCGAACGAGACCUUCGGGUCUAGUGGCGCACGGGUGCGUAACGCGUGGGAACCUGCCCUUAGGUUCGGAAUAACUCCCCGAAAGGGGUGCUAAUACCGGAUAAUGUCUUCGGACCAAAGAUUUAUCGCCUUUGGAUGGGCCCGCGUUGGAUUAGCUAGUUGGUAGGGUAAAAGCCUACCGAGGCGACGAUCCAUAGCUGGUCUGAGAGGAUGAUCAGCCACACUGGGACUGAGACACGGCCCAGACUCCUACGGGAGGCAGCAGUGGGGAAUAUUGGACAAUGGGCGAAAGCCUGAUCCAGCAAUGCCGCGUGAGUGAUGAAGGCCUUAGGGUUGUAAAGCUCUUUUACCCGGGAUGAUAAUGACAGUACCGGGAGAAUAAGCUCCGGCUAGCUCCGUG